CAGGCCGGCGUGCCGUGGGACUAGGGAGGGGCGACCAGGGAGUGGGCGGGGCCGCAGGCUCCGAGAGAGACGUCCGGGCGCACGGGAUUGGGCGGGAUGCCGCGAGGGGCACUGGGCGUGGCGCCGCAGGGCUGCCGAAGUAUCGCGAGCUCGAGGCCCUGUCUUCUCGUCCCCACCUUUUGGUUAACAUUCGGUUCUGAAAAUCUGGCGGGGUAGGGUCUGCAGUGUUUCUGUUGGCUCCCCUGGACUCUCUCGUCUUGUCUCGUCGUCCUUCGUUCGGCCCUGAAACACCGAACUCGUGACGAGUGCCGAAACAAGAAGACACAACAAAAAUUUCUCCAAUUAUGAACGACAAACCAGGAAAUGAAAGAAACAUAAAGAAUUAUUUAUGUGAAUGAAAGGAGUUAUUACCUCACUAGGUAUGAAGUAAUUUUCUAGAAUUUGUGCCGUGAAGUCUUGGGAUGUUCGGUAUCUCACUAGUUUGAAGAAGAGUUUAAGUAUGUUCAGGGAACAAUGUCCAUAACAAAGCGCGAAAAAUAAUUUUGAAAAUGGACUGGCAAUUUCUUGAACAUUACAUUUGAAGAAACAAAGUCACAGUUCUUUAGUACCACUGGAGAAAAGGGCAUUUUCGUCUAAUCUUCAACAUCAUCAGUAUAGCCGUCCAAAAUGUUAGCAGACAUACAGCACUAAAAACACUUUCUAAAAAAAACUCCACAGCUCUGUUUUUAUAUUUGCCUAUAGCAUCAAAAGUUUACGAAUUUUUGCAUAAUUGAAUUAUGAUUUUCGUACAGCCAUGUUUUAUAGUUUUCGCUUGCCACACUAAAUAUUUCACGUUUUUACAAUCUUAAUUUAUAAAUGUAGCAUAUUACCCUUGGUUUGUACAUACGCUCAACAUCAGAUCUUCAGAAUUGAAACUGAUAUCACUAAGAAGGAAAUGUGAAAGAAAAAUAUAAGUGAAACGUGAUGUAUAUACAUUUUAAAACUAUCCACUUACAGUGGAACACACCUGUAAUCUGAGCAAUCAGGGAAAACACAAAAUAAAAACAAAAAGCAGUGGGUAUAUGGGAGCAUACCUGUAACCUCAGCACUCUAGGAGACUCAAGUAGAAAGAUCACAAAUUUCAGCCCAACCUGGACAAUUUAGUAACUUAGGAACACCUUGUGAAACCGUGUAGUAGAGCUAACAGAUUAAUUCCAGGCUCUUGUAUAUGUGGAGCAAUGAAUUCAAAGUGUACAUGCAAUGGUUUUAAAAAAGCAACUACAUUUAUAGAAAAUAAUGGGAAGAUAUGAUAAGGCACACACUAACAGAAAAGUGCUGUUAGGGAGACAGGGUAAUAAAAAGUACAGCGCACAGGUAAAUCGAGCUUGGAAUUUAUAGGAUGUGCACCCCAAACCGAAUGAAAUGUAGUUUAUUAUGAAGGCCCUGGGUUCAAUCUUUAGUGCCUAAAUAAAUAAAAAGCCAAGAGAACAACUUUUUUGUUGUUUCUUGAAGCAGGGACAUUCUAUGUAUUUCAAGGCUGGCCAUGAACUCACUAUAUAUAGCCAGGCUGGCUAUAAACUCCUAUGUAACCCAGGCUGACUUUAAAAUCUCAAUGAUCCUCCUGUCUCACCCUCCAAGUAUUGGGAUUACAGACAUACACCGCCAGACAUGAAGACAACUUUAUUAGCUCCAGUUAUAGGUUACUGUUCUACACUCCUAGAAUAUAGCCAGCAAUCAUUGUCCUGACAAAGACCUAAUUUACACUGACCUCUCUUUCUCAUCUAAUUCAACAAAAUGUUAUAAAAAAUUUGUCAGUUAACUUUAAAGUGACAUGCAUAUCCUCCAUGGGAUCCCUAAGGCCUAGAUGGACAUGGUUUUAAGGCUACCUUGUUUCUCAGUUUUCAGCUUCUCCUACAAUAUUCCUUCCUGAAAUCCAUCCACUGGUGACAGGUAUGCCGCUAAAGUGUCUUAAUGGUUUAUUUCCCUACUGUUUCACAAUACUUUAAUUUUUCCAGUUUACCAAAAGGAAAAGCAUACCUUUCUGGUAUUGAGAAUGUUUAAGUGAUGCAUUACUCAUGAAAGUAAAAACCCCAGGAAACUUUUGUAAGUUCCUUAUUAAUUUAAAAUAUGCUGCAGGAAGAAAGCAUAUAGUUCUAAUGAACAGGUAAUGAAUUCUCAAUGUCCAAAUAAUUCCUUUUCACAAAGUGUGUCCUAAAGAUCACUGAGUUUAUAAAUUAGAAGGAAUUAAAAGAAUUGAGUGACAUUGAUAAAGGCAAAAUUCCUUAUAGCUCUAUCUGCUUACUAAUGUGAUAAUCUUUUCAAAAUUUUCUCUGAAGUUUUUCAUUGAUAAUAAUGAAAAAUUGAGAAAAUAUAGAUGAUGAUCUGUCACAUUCUUGUUAGAAGCAGUAUUUAAUAUCAAUGUAUGCAUGAAUCUAUUAAAAUCAUAUUUAAUAAUUAUAAGUAUUUUAAUAUAUUUGUAUUAUCUGAACACUCAAUUAUUACUAAUAAAUACAAUGAUGUCUCAGCUUAGAAAAAAGUGUUCAACUACUUGCAUUCUUUCAGCCAUGGGAAAUUUUAAUAAAUUUUAAAAUUUCAAUUUGCGUUUUCACUGAAGAAAGAUAUAAUAGUGUGAUUCAUAAAAAAUUCAAACAUAAAAAUUAUAAAUCAAGAUAUACUCGAUAGGGUUUUCAGCAUGGGAAAAGAGAAAAAAUUAAACAGUAGCCUUUAUUCCAAGGAUGUGGAGAGGAGUCCAAGGACCAAAGAUGGCCUGGCCUCUUCUGAUCCGGACUUGGGGUGUGGGAUAUAUAUAUAUAAAACCUCUGAGUGGGGUUGCUCUUAGGGUGGGCAUUGGUGACACAGGAGCAGCUGAUUGGGACUUUCUUCACGCCACUGGUAAAGGAAAAAGAAAGUUGUCAUAGGGGAAGGAGGAAGUGACUUGGUUCUGCCUCCCACUGCCGUAAUAUCGUGUCUAGGGCAAAAUCCUUUCAACACUCCUGGAGGGGUAGGAAUAUGAAAUUAUGAGUAUGAAGAGAAGAAUAAAUUUUGUAAAAUAUUCUGAGUGGCCAAUAGCGACAAAUGGCGUCUGGCUCCCCGACUGGAUCCUGUGACAUGGGUACUGCCCAGGCUGUCCAUCAGCGGAGGUGAUAGCAACAUUAAAAACAAAACCAAAAUCACCUGUGCCCGACUUCCAACCCUCUGUGCCAGUUUUACCAUCAGUGGAGGACCCCCUGGAAGAUGUCCUCUUCCCUCCCCUAUAUUCCCCUCUUAGAAACCCUUCACCCAACACCUCCCCCCUCGCAGUCCAAUCUGGACCUGAAGCAGACCACGGCCAAAUUCACCUGACUCCACCAUGGCAGCGUCAGCACUCUGCCCCCUUUGGCAGGUUCCCGAUCCCCGGAAACCAAGAGACUUGAUUAUUGUCUAACAUCUGACAAAAAGCAGUAUGCCAUCCAGAUGAAGCCUGCUCUCUGAUCUGGAAUGCCAGAACCAUGUUUUCCUUUUGUCCCAUCCCAACUGAAUAACCAGAGAUGGACUCAGGAGCAUUGCCAAAGGAGUCCUAACCCAGGACAUUGGCCCUUGGAAGAGGCCUAUAGCCUACCUCUUCAAAAGACUUGAUCCAGUGACAAGAGGAUGGCCCCCUGCCUGAGAAUGCUAGCUGCUGUGGCAAUGUUACUGAAAGAGGCUAAGAAACUCACUUUUGGACAAAAGAUUUCUGUGGUGACCUCCCACAGUUUAGAGACUCUUAUCAAAACCCCUCCUGAAAAGUGGCUUUCAGUGCCAGAAUUCUGCACUAUCAAGCCCUGCUCCUAGACCCAAAGUCAGUGGUUUUCAAGGCCUCUUCAGCCUUGAAAACCCAGCCACCCUUAUGCCUGACAAUGACCCUGAAGUUCAGAGUGUGCCUCUCCAAGAGUGUGCUGAUCUCCUAGAAACGCAACAGAAUCUACGGGCUGACCUUACUGACCAGCCUUUGGGGAAUGCUGAUAACUACUUCACCGAUGGGAGCAGUUUCAUCCAGGAUGGCAAACGAGUCACCUGAGGGGCAGUGACUACUGAAAAAGAGGUAGUCUGGGUAAAGCAGUUAGAGCUUGGUACCUCAGCCCAAAAGGCUGAGCUCAUUGCUUUGACCAAAGCAUUAAAGUUAGCCACCAGGAAAAAAGUAAAUAUCUAUACUGACAGUAGAUAUGCUUUUGCUACUGUACAUGUGCAUGGAGCCAUCUGUCAAGAGUGGGGUCUCUUAACCUCAGCCAGGAGUAAGAUAAAAAAUGCUCCCCAAAUUUUAAACUUGUUGGCUGCCAUCUGGAUGCCAAGGAGAGUGGCUAUUAUCCGCUGUAUAGCCCAUUGGGCAGGAGAUGACCUUGUUAUACAAAAAAUAAUUUGGCAGACGCCUCCACCCAAAAGGCAGCCACAAAAUCAGUGAGGAUUGAGAUAGCUCUGACCUUACUGUUGAUCCCACCUACUUUGUCAGAGCCUAUUUGCACUUGAAAACACUUGCAUCCGACAGCUCAACUUCUGAGCGAUCCCUGGGGGUUAAUAUUGAAGCUAGCCCAGUCUGUGAGCCUCAGAUGCCCUCAGUGCCAAUUGGUGAACCCAAAACAACUGCAACAAAUAAAAACCACUCGCUACAUGAGACUAUGCCUAGAAAACAUUAAGCCUAGACUUCAAAAAAUAAUAAGUCUUUAUAAAUAAUGAUAGAUGGAUUAAAACUUUACCUACUGAGUCUGAGUCAGCCCUGAUAACAGUUUCCCUGAUUUGGCCUCCCUUUUAUCCAUGGGGUCCGACAAUGGCCCAGCUUUUAUAGCCCAGAUAACUCAAAAACUAACCUAAGCUUUGCAGAUCAAUUGGAAACUCCAUUGUGCUUACCAGCCUCAAAGUUCAGGACAAGUAAAAAAGAUUUUAAAGACAAUAAUUACUAAUGGCCUUAAAAACUGGCGAGAACUGGGUGAGUCUCCUUUCCUUUUGCUCUUUUAUUUCCCCUUUUGAGGCUUUAUAUGGGAGACCUCUUCCUCUUAUCCUUAAGAUUUCUAAAGAAAAAUUAGCUGAUUUGGCUAAACAAGAUCUUAUUAAGUCCCCCCUAGACUUUUCAGCCAGUUCGGACUUCCAUCCACCGGUUAUUUCGGUGGCUGCCCACUGUGAGGACAAACACCCUGCUGUGGAGCCUGGACACCGGUCCUUAUCAAGAAGCAUCACCAUGAGCCACAAUAGACUAUCAAAGUAGCCGAAAAGCCUGCCUGGAUUCAUCAUUCCCACUGCAAGCAGCUCCUGGCUUCCAAAGACGAUCAGCCUGCAGAUAAGUGGACUGUCGUUCCCUCCAAGGACUCUUUAAAGCUUAAAAUUGUCAAAUGUAACUGAUUAUCUUGUGUUCUUCCUUGUAGAGACCCCAAGGAGGCCUCUGUCUGACUUUAAAAAAUUGUUAUAUGAUAAAAUAGAGUAAAUUUAAAUGUUGGUUUUCUUUUGCCUUAUAGUUAACAGCUUUAAUAAUGACAGCUGCAAGAUAUUUGUUAAUCCUCCUAUUGGGCCUUAUAUUGUAAACAAGUUGAUAAACUAUGUCAAAGAUCUUAAAAGCUUAAGAUUUUAAAGAUGCACACAAGGUUAUAAACAGAUGAGUCAAUGAUUUGACUCACUAACUAAAAUCAGUGGGGAAUGUUAUAACCUAUAUAUAAAAAAACCCUCGUAAGUCUCCUCGGAGGCAAGAAAAAGAUCAAAGGUAACUCUAAGAGCAGAACAGGAUGUCUUCCUAAUCUAAACUUGCUUGUUGGCAGGGAAACUUGCUUGUUUGCAGGAUGUGCCUUCCCCUAGAGGAUGUUUGCUGUCUUAGUUACUUUUUACUUGUUGCUGAGACAAAAUACCUGAAGCCCAAGUUGAGAAAGGAAAGGUUAUUUCUUAUAGUUUUUGGAGGUUUCAGUCCACACUCAGUUGGCUCCAAGGCAGGCGGGCAUGGCUGGGCCGCAGUUCAUGGUGGCUGCAAACAGCAAGCAGGAACCAGCAAAGAGCAAGACACACCUUCUUCCUGCCAUUACAUCACAUCCUGGCUCCACCCCUUUGUGGGUGGAGCACUGACACCAUCAAUCCAAGCACUAUACAAUGAACCAUCACAAAUGAACAAUACAAACUCAUGAGGUCUGGGGGCCACAGACAUAAACCAUGACAUUUGCCUAAUCUAAACUUACUUGUUAGCCCAACCCUUACCUGUACCUUGCUCUUCCCAAGAAAUGUUAUUGCCGUGUUCCUGUUCUGUAGUGCGCCACAAACCCACUCCUCCUCCUUGCAUUGUGAGACCAGCAGCUGUUUGCAGUUUUACAGGAUAAAAACCCUGCCCUUUAGCUGUUAGGCGCGUAGUCUUCCAUAUUGACUACCAGAGGCUGCGUGGCCAGGCCUGGCCUAAAAUAAAGCCUUUGCUCCAAAUUUCUUAAUUUCUUGCUUCCUUGGAUUUUAUUCCAGGGUCUGAGCUACCACAGUCUCUAAUCAUAAUUAUGAUGAUUUGCACUUUACAAAUGAGGCAACUGGAGCAUGGACAGGUUAACUAAGUUUUCCAAAGUUAUCCAAUGUAUACAUGGUAGAACUCAGGUUGAGUCUAGAUAAUAUAGCCACACAGGUUAUCCUCUCAUCAAAAUACAUGGCAUUCUACAUUGUCAUGGUUUUUCACAUAGUAUGAUCAUAACAUGAAAAAACGUUUCGCUAAAUCAAUCUCAUCCUAAAACUCAAAUCACAGGGAAUGUGGAUAUCUUACUUGCUUCCUUUAAUUAAUGUUGCCAAUAUUGCUGAUCACUGUUGUGAAAACAACACACACACACAAAUGCCUACAUAAUUAUAUAGCUACAAGAGCUACACAAUAUCAAUGUUCCUAAAAAUAUAUAUUAGUUCUACUUAUCUUGUACCCCUCAUUUUCUACCUCCCUCAGAAACAAAGCUCUGUUCCAUUUAACCUAUGUAUCAGCUUAUACUAAGAAACAACAUAAACAAAACAGGAGUGCAAAGUGACUUGUAAUGUUGCGUGAAAGUUCCCAAGCCAGAGCCAAACCCUGCUGAAGGGCAGACUCUGCGCUGAGGAGAUAAGAAGGCAACAUCUAAUCUUUAUGCCAGCAGACUGUCAUGGGAUAAUUCCACAAAAGCAACAGCCCUGAAUUAGGGAGGAGUUCAGGCUAUAAAGAAUUUAGAAGUGGGAGGUACAGAGCAAGGGACAAAAUGUUACAUGAUUGGAUACAUACAUUGAGUUAUAUUGACAGAAAAGCUAGUCUUGAAACAAUAGAACAGUCUGGAAACACGGGGAGGGGGCCUUACAGAGUAAGCACAUUAAGGGCAUUACCAUAAUAUAGAAAUGUUCCGGAGAGAGGGUCUUUACUGAAUGAGCACAGGUAGGGUGUCCUUGAAUCAGCGCAGGGUGCCUUAAGAUGCAGACAGUUACUCUUAACGUAGUGCUCAUCCGAGGUAUGCAGCUGGGCUAUAGACACUGUCAAGGUCAGCUGAAUUUAGCAGAAACAGCAGAACAGCAACUUGGCCAGAGACCUCUAACUGAUCAUGAAAUAACUAUAAGUCUGCUACUUUACACAAGCAUUUUUACAUUAUAAUUGUGCCCAACACUAAUACCAAGUGUCAUCGAAUACCAGGUAUUCUUGUUCACAGCUAAAUGAUGCUAUCAUCCUGCUUUCCUGCAGACACGCAUAGAAUGCUGAGAGAACUUCUUGUUAAUGAGAUAGCUAUUUCUAAGAGUCAUGAGUUUAUGAAAGAAAAGUAUCGGAUAAUGCUUAUUCAAAAGCUAACAUGAAGAAAGACCAACAAAAGAAGGAAAGCAGUUUAAAAUUGACAAAGACUUUCGUUCUUAAAUCUCAGAAAUAAUCAGACAGUUCAAAAGCUUUUCACUUUGAAUCUUCUGGAGAAGAAAUUGAAAACUGGAAGUUAGUUAGGCAGCAGCACAGUGGAAAGAGGACACAUAGCUCCUAAUUCCUGGUCAUGAUUUACUCCUACUAGACAGAGAAGACUCAAAUUAGGGCAUCCUCAUCAUUCUGUUUCUUGUUCCCAUUUAGAAAUUGCUAUGGUUUUUUUCUUUGUGCUACUUUGCUAGCCUCUUUGAAGCUUCUCUACCACUGGUAAAACAGAAUGACUCUUGAGAACCAGAAUUACAGAGCCCAAAGCCAAGCAGGUUUGGAGGCCAGGCUGCUGCAUAUUUCCAUGACUCUAUCAUCUACCAGCUUAUGAGCAUAAACUUACUACAGUCUUUAGCUUUAGCCUCUUGGGAACAAUGCUGAAUAUGGUAAGACUAGCUGUGUAACAAUUUGGGAAAUAUUGAAGUGUGUAAAUUAAGUGCCUGACACAGUAGGUAAAAACAAGGAGAUUUAUUAUUAGCAGCAUAUAUUUCUCUAAUUUAUCUGUUAACAAUCUUCCUCCUUUUUCAUUCUUCAAAUUACUGCAUAUGUAAGCACUUAACAUGACCACAAAUGCAUACUAAUUUAAGAAUCAUUAAGAAUGUACAGAAAAGUAUAGUAAAUAACAGCGCACCACCAAUACAGUGCUAGCCAGGUGUGGUGGCACAUACCUGUACCUCCAGCACUUAAGAGGCUAAGAAUGAGGGUAGCAAGUUCAAGUCACAGUGAAGCAAAUUAGCAAGACCGUGCCUCAAAAGCUAGAAUAUAAAAGUGCUAAAGAUGUAGCUCAGUGCAAAGGCCUUGAGUUCAGUCUUCAGUGCCCCUAAAUAUAUAUUGCUGUUUUACAUGUUUUUAACUUUAUAUAAAUGGUAACAGAUUGUCUGUAACAUUUUAUAACUUACCUCUCUGAGAUUCUCUUUUUGAGAUUUAUGCAUGUUCAUAUAUAUAACAUUGAUAUUUAAAUAUUUUAUUUGAUUGUAAGAACCUACCAUAAUAUAUUUCUGUAUUCUCCUGCUGAUGGAAA